rnacentral:rRNA from 1 species
GAUGAACGCUAGCUACAGGCUUAACACAUGCAAGUCGAGGGGCAGCAUGCUGAUAGCUUGCUAUCAGUGAUGGCGACCGGCGCACGGGUGAGUAACGCGUAUCCAACCUGCCUGUCACUCAGGAAUAGCCCGGUAGAAAACCGGAUUAAGUCCUGAUGAUAUCAUUAGAGGGCAUCUGACGAUGAAUUUAAAGGUUACGGUGACGGAUGGGGAUGCGUCUGAUUAGCUUGUUGGCGGGGUAACGCCCACAAGGCAACGAUCAGGUAGGGGUUCUGAGAGGAACGGUCCCCCANAUUGGAACUGAGACACGGUCCAAACUCCUACGGGAGCAGCAGUGAGGAAUAUUGGUCAAUGGACGGAAGUCUGAACCAGCCAAGUAGCGUGCAGGAUGACGG